AAGGGUAGCAAUACCUGAGUACAGUGGCGCACGGGUGAGUAACACGUGAAUUAUCUACCUUCGAGUGGGGAAUAACUGGGAGAAAUCUCAGCUAAUACCGCAUAACACUUACGAGUCAAAGCAGCAAUGCGCUUGAAGAGGAGUUCGCGGCAGAUUAGUUAGUUGGCGGGGUAAUGGCCCACCAAGACAGUGAUCGGUAUCCGGCCUGAGAGGGCGCACGGACACACUGGAACUGAAACACGGUCCAGACUCCUACGGGAGGCAGCAGUGGGGAAUUUUGCGCAAUGGGGGAAACCCUGACGCAGCAACGCCGCGUGGAGGAUGAAGUCUCUUGGGACGUAAACUCCUUUCGAUUGGGAAGAUAAUGACGGUACCAAUAGAAGAAGCCCCGGCUAACUUCGUGCCAGCAGCCGCGGUAAUACGAGGGGGGCAAGCGUUGUUCGGAAUUAUUGGGCGUAAAGGGCGCGUAGGCGGUUUGGCAAGUUUGGUGUGAAAUCUUCGGGCUCAACUCGAAGUCUGCAUCGAAAACUGCCGGGCUUGAGUAUGGGAGAGGUGAGUGGAAUUUCCGGUGUAGCGGUGAAAUGCGUAGAUAUCGGAAGGAACACCUGUGGCGAAAGCGGCUCACUGGACCAUAACUGACGCUGAGGCGCGAAAGCUAGGGGA
rnacentral:rRNA from 1 species